rnacentral:rRNA from 1 species
ACUAGCCUACGGGAGGCAGCAGUGGGGGAUAUUGCACAAUGGGGGAAACCCUGAUGCAGCGACGCCGCGUGUGGGAAGACGGUCCUCUGGAUUGUAAACCACUGUCCCCAGGGACGAAAAUGACGGUACCUGGGGAGGAAGCUCCGGCUAACUACGUGCCAGCAGCCGCGGUAAUACGUAGGGAGCGAGCGUUGUCCGGAAUUACUGGGUGUAAAGGGAGCGUAGGCGGGGAUGCAAGUUGGGUGUCAAAACUGCCGGCUCAACUGGUAGUCGCACUCAAACCUGCAGCUCUUGAGUG